rnacentral:rRNA from 1 species
CCUACGGGUGGCAGCAGUGGGGAAUAUUGGGCAAUGGGCGCAAGCCUGACCCAGCAACGCCGCGUGAACGAAGAAGGCUUUCGGGUUGUAAACUUCUUUUAAGAGGGAAGAGCAGAAGACGGUACCUCUUGAAUAAGCCACGGCUAACUAAGUGCCAGAAACCGCGGUAAUACGUAGGGUGCGGCCGGUAAUCGGAAUUACUGGGCGGAAAGGGCUCGUAGGCGGUAUGUCAAGUCAAGGGUGAAAUCCCCGGGCUCAACGUGGGAAUUGCCUUUGAAACUGGCAAACUGGAGUGUGUGAGAGGUUAGGGGAAUUCCAGGUGGAGGGGUGAAAUGCGUAGAUAUCUGGAGGAACAUCAGAGGCGAAGGCGACUAUCUGGCACAAAACUGACGCUGAGGGGCGAAAGCGUGGGUAGCAAACAGGAUUAGAUACCCUUGUAGUC